ACUCAAUUCAAGAAUUCCAACAGCAUCAACAGGAGUACGAUGAGGACCGAGUUAAGCUGCAGGUACAAGAGGUACUUGAAGGGGCUAAAGUACUUGAAUGGCUAAGGGAAAAUGCAGAGAUUCAGUACAUAACUAGGUGAAAAGACAAUAAUGUUCAAUGUUCACUGAUAAGCUUCAACUUAUGUUGAUGCUUCUGAGAACUCCGUCAACAUUGGUGUUCCGGGAACUGAUGUGAUAAAUGCUUCAAGCAAAAUUUCCGCAGUAUCAAUUUUCCAGAACUUAUAUUGCUGCACGAUUGUUGGCUCGAGAUCUGCAAAAUCUUGAGCAUCUUUUUGACCUCCAAAUUCAAUUUCCAGGAUGAUGAAUCG
rnacentral:misc_RNA from 1 species